rnacentral:rRNA from 1 species
CUGGAAUUCACCCGCCCGUCGUUAUCUAAGAUGACGCACUGGACGAAGAUCGGAAGGUCUGAGUCCUGAGUGUUAGAUAAGAUAUAAGUCGUAACAUGGCUGCUGUUGGAGAACCAGCAGCAGGAUCAGUA